UAAACACUAAUAAUGAAGCACUUGAUUCAUUUCAUUAUUAAACACUAAUUAAGCACUUACUAUGUUCUAAGCAACAUAGAUGCCAAGUGAAGAAGAAAUAGUCACUGCUGUUAAAGAACUCCAGUCUACCUACAUUCUGGUGAGAAAAGAAUGAAUGAGCCAGAGUCACUGUCCUCAGAGAACUCACAUCCUAGCCAACAGAAGCUUCUGUAGAAGAAUAACUUCAGCUUCUGUGGGUCAGGAAUCCAGAAGGUCUCACGUAAGGUUUCAAGUCAAGAUGUCAGCCAUUGCUGCAGUUCCAAGCUCAUCAACAUGGCAGUUGGCAGGAGGCUUACACCUCAUCAUGUGGUCCUCUCAACAGGGCUGCUUAUGACAUGGCAAUUGGUUUCCCCCAGAGUGAAUGAUCUGAGAGAGAAAUUAAUAAAGAUAGAAGCCACCAUGUCUUUAAUAACCAAAUCUCAGAAGUGACAUACCAUCAUGUCUACUGUAUUCUGUUGGUCACGUACCUAAUAGAAUGUGGGAGGGGAUGACCCAGAGGUGGUGAACACUGGGGCCUAUUUUAGAGACUGGCUACCACAGUCAUAUUGCUUUAUACUUUUUAUGUAUUGCUAGAUUCAGUUUGCUGAUUUUUUUUACAAUUUUUUAUCUAUAUUCUUGAGUGACAUUGACCUAUAAUUUUUCUCUCUUGCUAUCAACUUUAUGCUAACCUUAUAAAAUGAGACUAGCAGCAUUAUCUUUUUUUUACUCUCAGAGUUUGUGUAUAAUAUGAGAAUAGAUCAGAAUUAUUUGUUCCUUGACUGCCAGAAUUCAAUGUGAAGCUAUCGAAGCCUGAAAUUUUCCUUAAUUCAAUACUUCAAAUGUAUUGAAAGGCCAUUCUGAUUUUAGCACCAUUCUGUUUUUCUAUUUCAAUAGUUUGUGUAAAUUGUGCUUUGCUAGAAUAUGUUCAUUUCAUCUGCAUUUUCAAACUUACUGGCAUAAAAUUGUUCAAAUGACUUUUUUUUUAAUAUUUCUGACUUUUUUAGUAACGUUCUCUUUUUCUUUUUUGAUAUUAUUUAUUUGUGUGUUUGUGCUAUCACUCUUUUUUUUUUUUUUUUUGGUCUCACGAGAAGUUCGUUAAUUUUAUUAGGUGUUUUAGAGAAUCACUCUGGCUUUAUUGUCUCCAUAGUGUAUGGAAACUAUUUAAUUAGUUUCUGUUCUUAUUUCUAUCAUGUCCUUCCUUCCACCUUCUUUGUUGCUUUGGGGUUUUGUUUUUGUUUGUUUGUUUGUUUUGCUAUUCUUUUUCUAUUUUCUUGAAUUAUUAAUUUUUAAUAAUUAAUUUUUAGCUUUUUUCUAAUAUAUGCCUGUAAUAUACUUUUCCUUUAAAUGUUGCUUUAGCUAAAUCUCAUAAGUUUUGUUAGGUAGUAUUUUCAUUAUUGCUCAGUUCAAACUAUUUUUUUAAUACCACUGUAAUUUCUUAUUUAACCCUUGAGAUACUUAGAUGUGUAUUUAAUUAAUUUCCAAACAUAUGAAGGUUUUCUUGAUGUCUUUUUUUGGUACUGAUGUUUAACUUGUAUUUUGUUAAGAAAUAUGCUUAUGAUUAUUUCAUUUCUGUGACAUUUGUUGACACCUGCUUUACAAUCCAGUAAAUGGUCAGUUUCUGUGAAUGUGCUUAUUACAUGCAGUAUUCAAUAUAUGUUUAUUAGAUCAAGUUUAUUAAUCAUGAUGCUUAAAUUAUACAUAUUUUUAGGAAUUAUUUUCCCAUUUGCUCUAUCAAUUACUGAGUGGCUAUAUUAAAUGCCACAUUAUGAGUGUGGAUUUGUCUAUUUCUCUUCAUCUGUCAAUUGUUAAGGCUAAGUUAUUAAGUGCAUACAAAUUUAAAAUUACCAAAGCUACCAGUUGAAAUGAACCUUUCAUUAUUAUAAAUUAUUCCUGUUUAUCUUGAGUAACAGAGUUUAUCUUCGAGGCUCUUUAUUCUAAAAGCAAUUUGGUUAUCUGGGCCCUCUAAUUUUCCAAUUAUACUACAGGUGAAUUCUCCCCUUCCUUCCUUAUCAAGGCGCAAGUUGGCAUCUUCCCUUCAUAAUAAGUUUCAGCUUAUUAUGUUACUUAGUAAAAUCAUGCUCAUCUUUUUCUCCAUUUCCCUAAAUAAUAUUGAGCUCCACAGGCCUGAUUUUUUGCUUUAAAUUACAAGUAAAAUUCCAGAGUUGGCUCU
rnacentral:lncRNA from 10 species